rnacentral:rRNA from 1 species
GACGAACGCUGGCGGCGUGCUUAACACAUGCAAGUCGAACGGAAAGGCCCUGCUUUUGUGGGGUGCUCGAGUGGCGAACGGGAGAGUAACACGUGAGUAACCUGCCCUUGACUUUGGGAUAACUUCAGGAAACUGGGGCUAAUACCGGAUAGGAGCUCCUGCUGCAUGGUGGGGGUUGGAAAGUUUCGGCGGUUGGGGAUGGACUCGCGGCUUAUCAGCUUGUUGGUGGUGUAGUGGCUUACCAAGGCUUUGACGGGUAGCCGGCCUGAGAGGGUGACCGGCCACAUUGGGACUGAGAUACGGCCCAGACUACGACGGGCGGCAGCAGUGGGGAAUAUUGAACAAUGGGCGGAAGCCUGAUGCAGCGACGCCGCGUGCGGGAUGACGUCCUUCGGGUUGUAAACCGCUUUCGCCUGUGACGAAGCGUGAGUGACGGUAGUGGGUAAAGAAGCACCGGCUAACUACGUG